rnacentral:rRNA from 1 species
UACGUAGGGGGCAAGCGUUAUCCGGAUUUACUGGGUGUAAAGGGAGCGUAGACGGCGAGACAAGUCUGAAGUGAAAGCCCGCGGCUUAACUGCGGGACUGCUUUGGAAACUGCCUGGCUAGAGUGCAGGAGAGGUAAGCGGAAUUCCUAGUGUAGCGGUGAAAUGCGUAGAUAUUAGGAGGAACACCAGUGGCGAAGGCGGCUUACUGGACUGUAACUGACGUUGAGGCUCGAAAGCGUGGGGAGCAAACAGG